AAAAAGCUUGUAGUUGGAUCUCAGCUCGAGACGGAUGGUCCGCCUACCGGUGGUUACUGUCUGUUCUCAGCAUUCAGCCGGUUUCUCUUGAUGAUCUUCACCGGUUGUCUUGGGUGACCGGCAAGUUUACUUUGAAAAAAUUAGAGUGCUCAAAGCAGGCGUGAAAGCCUGAAUAAUGGUGCAUGGAAUAAUGGAAUAGGACCUCGGUUCUAUUUUGUUGGUUUUCGGAACACGAGGUAAUGAUUAAGAGGGACAGACGGGGGCAUUCGUAUUGCGACGCUAGAGGUGAAAUUCUUGGACCGUCGCAAGACGAACUACUGCGAAAGCAUUUGCCAAGAAUGUUUCCAUUAAUCAAGAACGAAAGUUAGAGGUUCGAAGGCGAUCAGAUACCGCCCUAGUUCUAACCAUAAACGAUGCCAGCCAGCGAUCCGGCUGUGUUCCUCAAAUGACACGCCGGGCAGCUUCCGGGAAACCAAAGCUUUUGGGUUCCGGGGGAAGUAUGGUUGCAAAGCUGAAACUUAAAGGAAUUGACGGAAGGGCACCACCAGAAAUGGAGCCUGCGGCUUAAUUUGACUCAACACGGGAAAACUUACCCGGCCCGGACACAGGAAGGAUUGACAGAUUAAGAGCUCUUUCUUGAUUCUGUGGGUGGUGGUGCAUGGCCGUUCUUAGUUGGUGGGGCGACUUGUCUGGUUAAUUCCGAUAACGAACGAGACUCUAGCCUACUAAAUAGACGCUCCGAUCCUUCGAGUCGGACGUUCUUCUUAGAGGGACAAGCGGCGUUUAGCCGCACGAAACAGAGCAAUAACAGGUCUGGGAUGCCCUUAGAUGUCCGGGGCCGCACGCGCGCUACAUUGAAGGAAUCAGCGUGUGCUCUCCCUAUCCGACAGGAUUGGGUAACCCGUUGAACCUCCUUCGUGCUGGGGAUAGGAGAUUGUAAUUGUCCUCCUUGAACGAGGAAUUCCCAGUAAGCGCAGGUCAUAAGCCUGCGUUGAUUACGUCCCUGCCCUUUGUCCACACCGCCCGUCGCUACUACCGAUUGAAUGAUUUAGUGAGGUCUUCGGACUGGCGCUCGGAUUGGCCUUCGGGUCGAGCCGAAGUGCCGGAAAGAUGACCAAACUUGAUCAUUUAGAGGAAGUAAAAGUCGUAACAAGGUUUCC
rnacentral:rRNA from 1 species